AGCGCAUACGGUGGAUGCCUUGGCAGUCAGAGGCGAUGAAAGACGUGGUAGCCUGCGAAAAGCUUCGGGGAGUCGGCAAACAGACUUUGAUCCGGAGAUGUCUGAAUGGGGGAACCCAGCCAUCAUAAGAUGGUUAUCUUACGCUGAAUACAUAGGCGUAAGAGGCGAACCAGGGGAACUGAAACAUCUAAGUACCCUGAGGAAAAGAAAUCAACCGAGAUUCCCUUAGUAGUGGCGAGCGAACGGGGACUAGCCCUUAAGUGGCUUUGAGAUUAGCGGAACGCUCUGGAAAGUGCGGCCAUAGUGGGUGAUAGCCCUGUACGCGAAAAUCUCUUAGUCAUGAAAUCGAGUAGGACGGAGCACGAGAAACUUUGUCUGAAUAUGGGGGGACCAUCCUCCAAGGCUAAAUACUACUGACUGACCGAUAGUGAACUAGUACCGUGAGGGAAAGGCGAAAAGAACCCCGGAGAGGGGAGUGAAAUAGAUCCUGAAACCGUAUGCGUACAAGCAGUGGGAGCCCACUUUGUUGGGUGACUGCGUACCUUUUGUAUAAUGGGUCAGCGACUUAUUUUCAGUGGCGAGCUUAACCGAAUAGGGGAGGCGUAGCGAAAGCGAGUCUUAAUAGGGCGUCUAGUCGCUGGGAAUAGACCCGAAACCGGGCGAUCUAUCCAUGGGCAGGUUGAAGGUUGGGUAACACUAACUGGAGGACCGAACCGACUACCGUUGAAAAGUUAGCGGAUGACCUGUGGAUCGGAGUGAAAGGCUAAUCAAGCUCGGAGAUAGCUGGUUCUCCUCGAAAGCUAUUUAGGUAGCGCCUCAUGUAUCACUGUAGGGGGUAGAGCACUGUUUCGGCUAGGGGGUCAUCCCGACUUACCAAACCGAUGCAAACUCCGAAUACCUACAAGUGCCGAGCAUGGGAGACACACGGCGGGUGCUAACGUCCGUCGUGAAAAGGGAAACAACCCAGACCGUCAGCUAAGGUCCCAAAGUUAUGGUUAAGUGGGAAACGAUGUGGGAAGGCUUAGACAGCUAGGAGGUUGGCUUAGAAGCAGCCACCCUUUAAAGAAAGCGUAAUAGCUCACUAGUCGAGUCGGCCUGCGCGGAAGAUGUAACGGGGCUCAAACCAUACACCGAAGCUACGGGUAUCACGUAAGUGAUGCGGUAGAGGAGCGUUCUGUAAGCCUGUGAAGGUGAGUUGAGAAGCUUGCUGGAGGUAUCAGAAGUGCGAAUGCUGACAUGAGUAACGACAAUGGGUGUGAAAAACACCCACGCCGAAAGACCAAGGUUUCCUGCGCAACGUUAAUCGACGCAGGGUUAGUCGGUCCCUAAGGCGAGGCUGAAAAGCGUAGUCGAUGGAAAACAGGUUAAUAUUCCUGUACUUCUGGUUAUUGCGAUGGAGGGACGGAGAAGGCUAGGCCAGCUUGGCGUUGGUUGUCCAAGUUUAAGGUGGUAGGCUGAGAUCUUAGGUAAAUCCGGGAUUCUAAGGCCGAGAGCUGAUGACGAGCUAACUUUUAGUUAGCGAAGUGGUUGAUGCCAUGCUUCCAAGAAAAGCUUCUAAGCUUCAGGUAACCAGGAACCGUACCCCAAACCGACACAGGUGGUUGGGUAGAGAAUACCAAGGCGCUUGAGAGAACUCGGGUGAAGGAACUAGGCAAAAUGGCACCGUAACUUCGGGAGAAGGUGCGCCGGUGAGGGUGAAGGACUUGCUCCGUAAGCUCAUGCCGGUCGAAGAUACCAGGCCGCUGCGACUGUUUAUUAAAAACACAGCACUCUGCAAACACGAAAGUGGACGUAUAGGGUGUGACGCCUGCCCGGUGCCGGAAGGUUAAUUGAUGGGGUUAGCUAACGCGAAGCUCUUGAUCGAAGCCCCGGUAAACGGCGGCCGUAACUAUAACGGUCCUAAGGUAGCGAAAUUCCUUGUCGGGUAAGUUCCGACCUGCACGAAUGGCGUAACGAUGGCGGCGCUGUCUCCACCCGAGACUCAGUGAAAUUGAAAUCGCUGUGAAGAUGCAGUGUAUCCGCGGCUAGACGGAAAGACCCCGUGAACCUUUACUAUAGCUUUGCACUGGACUUUGAAUUUGCUUGUGUAGGAUAGGUGGGAGGCUUUGAAGCGUGGACGCCAGUCUGCGUGGAGCCAACCUUGAAAUACCACCCUGGCAACUUUGAGGUUCUAACUCAGGUCCGUUAUCCGGAUCGAGGACAGUGUAUGGUGGGUAGUUUGACUGGGGCGGUCUCCUCCUAAAGAGUAACGGAGGAGUACGAAGGUGCGCUCAGACCGGUCGGAAAUCGGUCGUAGAGUAUAAAGGCAAAAGCGCGCUUGACUGCGAGACAGACACGUCGAGCAGGUACGAAAGUAGGUCUUAGUGAUCCGGUGGUUCUGUAUGGAAGGGCCAUCGCUCAACGGAUAAAAGGUACUCCGGGGAUAACAGGCUGAUACCGCCCAAGAGUUCAUAUCGACGGCGGUGUUUGGCACCUCGAUGUCGGCUCAUCACAUCCUGGGGCUGAAGCCGGUCCCAAGGGUAUGGCUGUUCGCCAUUUAAAGUGGUACGCGAGCUGGGUUUAGAACGUCGUGAGACAGUUCGGUCCCUAUCUGCCGUGGACGUUUGAGAUUUGAGAGGGGCUGCUCCUAGUACGAGAGGACCGGAGUGGACGAACCUCUGGUGUUCCGGUUGUCACGCCAGUGGCAUUGCCGGGUAGCUAUGUUCGGAAUAGAUAACCGCUGAAAGCAUCUAAGCGGGAAACUAGCCUCAAGAUGAGAUCUCACUGGAACCUUGA
rnacentral:rRNA from 1 species